rnacentral:rRNA from 1 species
UGGGGAAUUUUCCGCAAUGGGCGAAAGCCUGACGGAGCAACGCCGCGUGAGGGAUGAAGGCCUCUGGGCUGUAAACCUCUUUUCUCAAGGAAGAAGACCUGACGGUACUUGAGGAAUAAGCCACAGCUAAUUCCGUGCCAGCAGCCGCGGUAAUACGGGAGUGGCAAGCGUUAUCCGGAAUUAUUGGGCGUAAAGCGUCCGCAGGCGGCCUUGUAAGUCUGUCGUUAAAGCGUGGAGCUUAACUCCAUUUCGGCGAUGGAAACUACAAGGCUUGAGUGUGGUAGGGGCAGAGGGAAUUCCCGGUGUAGCGGUGAAAUGCGUAGAUAUCGGGAAGAACACCAGUGGCGAAGGCGCUCUGCUGGGCCAUAACUGACGCUCAUGGACGAAAGCCAGGGGAGCGAAAGGGAUUAGAUACCCCUGUAGUCCUGGCCGUAAACGAUGAACACUAGGUGUCGGGGGAAUCGACCCCCUCGGUGUCGUAGCCAACGCGUUAAGUGUUCCGCCUGGGGAGUACGCACGCAAGUGUGAAACUCAAAGGAAUUGACGGGGGCCCGCACAAGCGGUGGAGUAUGUGGUUUAAUUCGAUGCAACGCGAAGAACCUUACCAGGGUUUGACAUCCUGCGAACCCCUGAGAAAUCGGGGGGUGCCUUCGGGAGCGCAGAGACAGGUGGUGCAUGGCUGUCGUCAGCUCGUGUCGUGAGA